rnacentral:rRNA from 1 species
ACCCGCUGAAUUUAAGCAUAUCAAUAAGCGGAGGAAAAGAAACUAACUAGGAUUCCCCUAGUAACGGCGAGUGAAGCGGGAAGAGCCCAGCACCGAAUCCCCCGGCGUAACGUCGGCGGGAAAUGUGGUGUAUAGGAAGCCGAUUGGUGGUGCGCUUCGUCGCCCAAGUCCUCCUGAUCGUGGCCUCUCCCAUAGCGGGUGUCAGGCCCUUUCUGGCGACGGGCGCGCUGCCUUCGAGCUUCCUCGGAGUCGGGUUGUUUGAGAAUGCAGCCCAAAGCGGAUGGUAAACUCC